rnacentral:rRNA from 1 species
UACGUAGGGUGCAAGCGUUAAUCGGAAUUACUGGGCGUAAAGCGUGCGCAGGCGGUUCGCUAAGACAGAUGUGAAAUCCCUGGGCUUAACCUGGGAACUGCAUUUGUGACUGGCGGGCUAGAGUAUGGCAGAGGGGGGUAGAAUUCCACGUGUAGCAGUGAAAUGCGUAGAGAUGUGGAGGAAUACCGAUGGCGAAGGCAGCCCCCUGGGCCAAUACUGACGCUCAUGCACGAAAGCGUGGGGAGCAAACAGG